rnacentral:rRNA from 1 species
GAUGAAUGCUGGCGGCGUGCCUAAUACAUGCAAGUCGAGCGAACAGACGAGGAGCUUGCUCCUCUGACGUUAGCGGCGGACGGGUGAGUAACACGUGGAUAACCUACCUAUAAGACUGGGAUAACUUCGGGAAACCGGAGCUAAUACCGGAUAAUAUAUUGAACCGCAUGGUUCAAUAGUGAAAGACGGUUUUGCUGUCACUUAUAGAUGGAUCCGCACCGCAUUAGCUAGUUGGUAAGGUAACGGCUUACCAAGGCAACGAUGCAUAGCCGACCUGAGAGGGUGAUCGGCCCCACUGGAACUGAGACACGGUCCAGACUCCUACGGGAGGCAGCAGUAGGGAAUCUUCCGCAAUGGGCGAAAGCCUGACGGAGCAACGCCGCGUGAGUGAUGAAGGUCUUCGGAUCGUAAAACUCUGUUAUUAGGGAAGAACAAAUGUGUAAGUAACUAUGCACGUCUUGACGGUACCUAAUCAGAAAGCCACGGCUAACUACGUG